UUAUUAUCAGCAGCAUAUAUCCUAAAAUUGGAAUGAGACAGAGAAGAUUAGCCUGGCCCCUGUGCAAGAAUGACACGCAAAUUCGUGAAGCAUUCCAUAUUUUU
ensembl:snRNA U6 U6 spliceosomal RNA